UAAAGAUACGAACAGAUUGAAUUUUGGUAACAGGGGAACAAGUGUCGUCAUAAUCAAUACCGUAUGUUUGAGUAUAUCCCUUUGCAACCAAUCGAGCCUUCAAUCGAUCAAGAGUGCCAUCAGGAUGAACCCUAAUAAUGAAUACCCAACGUCAACCAAUAGUUUGUUUCUCCGUAGGUAAUGAAGUGAGUUUCCAAGUACAGUUAAUAAUGAGCGUCUUCAUUUCAUCUUCCAUGGCUUGCUGCCAUCCAGGAUGAGCAAGAGCUUCAAGAACACUACUAGGCAUAGAAACAGAGGACAAGGUUGCGACAAAUGUAGAGAAACUAGGAGAUAAACGGUCAUAUGACAAGAAAUUUGAAAUGGGAUGACGAGUGUGAAGAUAAUUAGAAAAAGCAGAAUAAGGAGCAUAACGAUCCACUGGGCGACCUACACAUGAACGUAUACCUUUUCGAGUAGCUAUGGGUACAUUAGGAUCAAAGGAUGGUGCAGCAAUUGAUGAGGGAACAAAGGAAUCAUGUGUUGGUGAAGUCUGUACCACCGUGGUAGGAGCCGUACUACGCCGAUGAUAUGUGCGGUCAGCAAAUUGAAAUCCUGUUGAUGGUUCCCAAGGAAGUGGGAGUGGGGGAAGUGUCGAUAAGACACAUUCACCGCUCUCAAGAGUAGCUAUAGGUUCCAUUUGAGUAUUAUAAUAUGGCUAAUCUUCAAAGAUUGUUACAUCUGCUAACACAAGCACACGAUGACGUCUAGGACUAUAACAUUUGUAGCCUUUCUAAGUUUGAGAGCAUCCUAAAAAGAUACAUUUCUCCGCAUAAGGAUCCAACUUAUCAAGACCUGGAGUAAUAUUAUGCACAAAACAAACACAGCCAAAGAGACGUGGAGGUAAUGCAAAGGGAGAAUGAUUUGGAUGUAACAUAGAGAAUGGUGUCUCCCCAUGAAGGACAGAAGUAAGAAGCCGAUUAAUCAAAAAAUAAGCUGUAAGAAUAGCAUGUCUCUAGAAAGUUUUAGGUAGAUGCAUGUGAAACAUGAGGCAACGGGCAACAUAAAGAAGAUGGCAAUUUUUACACUCAGCAACACCAUUUUACUAAGGAGUGUAUGAACAAGAAGUCCGAUAGAUAAUGCCAUGAGAAUCAAGAAAAGACUGAAACCUAAAGUGACAGCAAGAUACUCUUUGGCAUUAUCUGAGUGUAAAGUUUUAACAAAAGUACGGUACUGAUUUAAUACUUCAAAAUAGAACAAGCAAAAGCAAUGAAAAAUCUCGUAACGAUCUUGUAUUAAGAAUAACCAAGUCAUUCGGGAAAAAUCGUCCACGAAUGUGGCAAAAUAUUUGAAACUAAAAGUAUCAAAA